rnacentral:rRNA from 1 species
UACGGGGGGGGCAAGCGUUGUUCGGAAUUACUGGGCGUAAAGGGCUCGUAGGCGGCCAACUAAGUCGGAUGUGAAAUCCCCAGGCUUAACCUGGGAACUGCAUCCGAUACUGGAUGGCUUGAAUUCGGGAGAGGGAUGCAGAAUUCCAGGUGUAGCGGUGAAAUGCGUAGAUAUUGGGAAGAACACCGAUGGCGAAGGCAGCCCCCUGGGUUAACACUGACGCUCAUGCACGAAAGCGUGGGGAGCAAACAGG